rnacentral:rRNA from 1 species
GGAACACGUGUGCAACCUGCCUUUAUCUGGGGGAUAGCCUUUCGAAAGGAAGAUUAAUACCCCAUAAUAUACUGAAUGGCAUCAUUCGGUAUUGAAAACUCCGGUGGAUAGAGAUGGGCACGCGCAAGAUUAGAUAGUUGGUGAGGUAACGGCUCACCAAGUCUACGAUCUUUAGGGGGCCUGAGAGGGUGAUCCCCCACACUGGUACUGAGACACGGACCAGACUCCUACGGGAGGCAGCAGUGAGGAAUAUUGGACAAUGGGUGAGAGCCUGAUCCAGCCAUCCCGCGUGAAGGACGACGGCCCUAUGGGUUGUAAACUUCUUUUGUAUAGGGAUAAACCUACCCUCGUGAGGGUAGCUGAAGGUACUAUACGAAUAAGCACCGGCUAACUCCGUGCCAGCAGCCGCGGUAAUACGGAGGGUGCAAGCGUUAUCCGGAUUUAUUGGGUUUAAAGGGUCCGUAGGCGGAUCUGUAAGUCAGUGGUGAAAUCUCACAGCUUAACUGUGAAACUGCCAUUGAUACUGCAGGUCUUGAGUGUUGUUGAAGUAGCUGGAAUAAGUAGUGUAGCGGUGAAAUGCAUAGAUAUUACUUAGAACACCAAUUGCGAAGGCAGGUUACUAAGCAACAACUGACGCUGAUGGACGAAAGCGUGGGGAGCGAACAGGAUUAGAUACCCUGGUAGUCCACGCCGUAAACGAUGCUAACUCGUUUUUGGAAUGUAAGUUUCAGAGACUAAGCGAAAGUGAUAAGUUAGCCACCUGGGGAGUACGAACGCAAGUUUGAAACUCAAAGGAAUUGACGGGGGCCCGCACAAGCGGUGGAUUAUGUGGUUUAAUUCGAUGAUACGCGAGGAACCUUACCAAGGCUUAAAUGGGAAAUGACAGGUUUAGAAAUAGACUUUUCUUCGGACAUUUUUCAAGGUGCUGCAUGGUUGUCGUCAGCUCGUGCCGUGAGGUGUUAGGUUAAGUCCUGCAACGAGCGCAACCCCUGUCACUAGUUGCCAUCAUUAAGUUGGGGACUCUAGUGAGACUGCCUACGCAAGUAGAGAGGAAGGUGGGGAUGACGUCAAAUCAUCACGGCCCUUACGCCUUGGGCCACACACGUAAUACAAUGGCCGGUACAGAGGGCAGCUACACUGCGAAGUGAUGCAAAUCUCGAAAGCCGGUCUCAGUUCGAUUGGAGUCUGCAACUCGACUCUAUGAAGCUGGAAUCGCUAGUAAUCGCGCAUCAGCCAUGGCGCGGUGAAUACGUUCCCGGGCCUUGUACACACCGCCCGUCAAGCCAUGGAAGUCUGGGGUACCUGAAGUCGGUGACCGUAACAGGAGCUGCCUAG